rnacentral:rRNA from 1 species
UACGUAAGGGGCAAGCGUUAUCCGGAAUCACUGGGCGUAAAGGGUGCGUAGGUGGUUCAAUAAGUCAGAAGUGAAAGGCUAUGGCUCAACCAUAGUAAGCUUUUGAAACUGUUGAACUUGAGUACAGGAGAGGAAAGUGGAAUUCCUAGUGUAGCGGUGAAAUGCGUAGAUAUUAGGAGGAACACCAGUGGCGAAGGCGACUUUCUGGACUGUUACUGACACUGAGGCACGAAAGCGUGGGGAGCGAACAGG